GUGCUCACUUGGCAGCACAUACCAACACCAGAGCAGAGAUUAGCAUAGCCCCUGAGCGAGGAUAAUACUCAAGCCCUUGAAGCGUUGCACAGUUUU
rnacentral:snRNA from 1 species